AGUCGAGCGAGCGGAACUAACAGAUUUACUUCGGUAAUGACGUUAGGAAAGCGAGCGGCGGAUGGGUGAGUAACACGUGGGGAACCUGCCCCAUAGUCUGGGAUACCACUUGGAAACAGGUGCUAAUACCGGAUAAGAAAGCAGAUCGCAUGAUCAGCUUUUAAAAGGCGGCGUAAGCUGUCGCUAUGGGAUGGCCCCGCGGUGCAUUAGCUAGUUGGUAAGGUAAAGGCUUACCAAGGCGAUGAUGCAUAGCCGAGUUGAGAGACUGAUCGGCCACAUUGGGACUGAGACACGGCCCAAACUCCUACGGGAGGCAGCAGUAGGGAAUCUUCCACAAUGGACGCAAGUCUGAUGGAGCAACGCCGCGUGAGUGAAGAAGGUUUUCGGAUCGUAAAGCUCUGUUGUUGGUGAAGAAGGAUAGAGGUAGUAACUGGCCUUUAUUUGACGGUAAUCAACCAGAAAGUCACGGCUAACUACGUGCCAGCAGCCGCGGUAAUACGUAGGUGGCAAGCGUUGUCCGGAUUUAUUGGGCGUAAAGCGAGCGCAGGCGGAAGAAUAAGUCUGAUGUGAAAGCCCUCGGCUUAACCGAGGAACUGCAUCGGAAACUGUUUUUCUUGAGUGCAGAAGAGGAGAGUGGAACUCCAUGUGUAGCGGUGGAAUGCGUAGAUAUAUGGAAGAACACCAGUGGCGAAGGCGGCUCUCUGGUCUGCAACUGACGCUGAGGCUCGAAAGCAUGGGUAGUGAACAGGAUUAGAUACCCUGGUAGUCCAUGCCGUANACGAUGAGUGCUAAGUGUUGG
rnacentral:rRNA from 1 species